rnacentral:rRNA from 1 species
GACGAACGCUGGCGGCGUGCUUAACACAUGCAAGUCGAGCGGAAAGGCCCUGCUUUUGUGGGGUGCUCGAGUGGCGAACGGGUGAGUAACACGUGAGUAACCUGCCCUUUACUUUGGGAUAACUUCAGGAAACUUGGGCUAAUACCGGAUAGGAGCUCCUGCUGCAUGGUGGGGGUUGGAAAGUUUCGGCGGUUGGGGAUGGACUCGCGGCUUAUCAGCUUGUUGGUGGGGUAGUGGCUUACCAAGGCUUUGACGGGUAGCCGGCCUGAGAGGGUGACCGGCGACAUUGGGACUGAGAUACGGCCCAGACUCCUACGGGAGGCAGCAGUGGGGAAUAUUGCACAAUGGGCGGAAGCCUGAUGCAGCAACGCCGCGUGCGGGAUGACGGCCUUCGGGUUGUAAACCGCUUUCGCCUGUGACGAAGCGUGAGUGACGGUAAUGGGUAAAGAAGCACCGGCUAACUACGUG